ensembl:lncRNA
ACCUCUACUUCCUAUCAGGUGUAAACAGUGUCCAUGCUGGUGACAGGACCACAGCGGGCAGUGCGCACAACCCGGCCGCAGCCUGUUUCCAAACAGAACACUGCCAGUUUAAAUUCUUAACUUGUUUUUUUUAUAGAGUUCAUGAGUAUGAAAGAUUUUAUAGAGAGUAGCCUACAUGAGUGCAACACAAGUUCCGACCGUGAUCCGAUAUCCUCCUCGGUCUCCUCGCGCACUUCCUUGAUAACAUCCCAGCUUGUUGUUGAUUCGUUGUGACUUGGUUGUCGUCACGUUGAAAGCGACAUCGAACUGCUUAAGUUAUAUUUAAGCAUUAAGUUGUUCCUAGUAAAGGACGUUACUUGUCGGCGGUGUAGCCAAAUUAGCUGAAUUGCUAGUACGUUUUGAAACUAACUAGGGAUUUCAAAGUGGAGUACUUUACGCACAGGCGUGGUGACUUACGCAUAGCUGGUGCAGCGCCCGCCGUCACACCCACUUACCCACGGUUCUAUGCUGGAUAAUGCUGGAUAAAGAGUUUAGUUUCCCGUCAGGGACCAUGGACAUAAAAACUCCUAAUGCUCGCUCUCCCAAACCUCGUUGAGGAUCCACAAUCGCUCCUUCGUCUAGUGUUGGUUUUCUCAUAGGUAAGUUUGAAGCUGUAGUCAGGCUAUAGUUGGAUCAAAUAUAUAUUUUUAUAUGCAAAAUAUCGGCAUGUAUAUAUAUAUUUACAGUAGCCUACAUUACAUUUGAGUUCAUAUGUGUAUUGGCGUAUAACUUAUAUUAUAUCAAUAAUAUAUAUAUAGACUGACGAGCCUGCGAGAGGAAGUCUAGUCAGUCUGAGUUGUUACAUAAUGUCGUGCAAUUCGUCUAGCCUGUCUCCCCGCCCGUCUGAGGCCUGCCCUGUCAGCACAAAGGGUUUAUAAUAAGAUCACAGCUACAGCAAUGUACCUUUAUUCUCUAUAGCUAAAUACUAUUUAUAUUGAAUACACAUUAUCCCUACCUUGUAAUGCUGUCCAGCAACCAUUUGGUCUCACGUACAAUCCGAAGUUUUUUUAUGCUGAAGUGAUCCUAGCAGUUUGAACAAAAUAAGAAUGUUGUGUGUGUCUGCGAUUCUCUAGUCAAGUAUAACGUUACGUUAUAAGUAGGUCUAAAGACUUAUAAUAUGUAAUGAACUGCAUCCUCAUCUGGUAUACCGAUUAACUGACUAGUAACACAUUGUUAAUUACGCUAUCGCUACAUAACUCAAAUAAAAAUAUAUAUACUGGUGCCAACAAUUCACAUAAUCAAAAUACGGUCAUCCCAUUAAAGUCUUUACAUUUAGCAUUCUUUAAUGCCAUUUCAAAAGAGUAUUUCGUUUGCCUGGUGUGUGUAUUUUCUGGGGGGAGGGACGAUGUAGUCACCAUAGCACAUGCACUGUACCAAUAUACACGCCCAGUUCCAGGGUGAGUUAAGGACAGCACAGCACGUUAUCAGGCAGUACCAGUCUUUAACAUUGUGUGCAUAGCUGUUUAAUUGCUAUGUCUUGGGCUGUCCCUGAUUGGAUGGUCUACGAAAUAACGCCCAAACAGAAACAACCAUAGGCUAAUGGAAUGCAGAUACACAAGAGGGAAUGGACGGUUAUUCCUCCUUAAUCCCUAAAUUGUCUUGUUUAAAACCAGAGAACAUGGAGUUAUGACCACAUGUAACUACUGCCCCUUCCACUAAAUCAGCAUGUUGAAGAGUCAGCCUCCCACCAAAAAUGCCAAGGAGAAGAGCAACAGCGCCACCCUACUGGCCACACAUGGUGACUGGGACAAAGAAGGAUGUGGGAGGAUCUUAGGAGGCUGCAGCUCAGAGAAAGAUUCGGGCUACUCUGACAACGGGUCUGACCAGCAGCACACGGAUGCAGGGUUGCUACGAAGCAUCGUCACAGGCCAGUCCGGCCCCAAGGGUUACAGUGAAGUGCCGAGGCAGUGUCCUGUCCAACUCCCCGGCCAGGGCCCGCCUCAUCAGGCCCCACACCGCACUGAGACCGAUGCUCUGAUGCUACCAGGGAGCGAUCAUGUCAGCCCAGUCUAUAUCAUACAGAACCUGAUGCCCCACCAGGAGAGGUCCACAGUCCACAAGGCGGAUGUGAAACCUAUGAUGUGGACGAACCCCAAAGAUGGGUCUGGCGGCGCCAGCCCCGGCCAGGUGCUGCUAGUACAGCAGACCAGCCUGGCUCCAUCCCGGCCGCCUCUCUCCAAGCACCGCAACAAGUCCCAAACCCGCAUGGUUCUGGGCGCCGGGAGGCGAAAACCCACCUUCCUCCGCAUCGCCCCACAUCCCAGCAAGACAUCCCCGGAGAACAACUCACCGAGCCCGGGCCCGAGACAUCCCAGCAAGCGGGUGUUGUGUCCCGAGCUCAAGAGAGACGAGCCUGCAUCUGCAGCCAGCAGCUCCCGCCCGCCGCGUACCCCUUCCUCCUCAUCUGCCUUGCGGGCGACCAAAGGGACCAUCCCCGCCGGCGCAGCCUGCUACCGCCGCUUCCUCCACACCAUGAAGGCCCUGAGGCAGUCGGGUCUGCUGGACAUCACCCUGCGCACCCAGGAGCUCAUGCGUCGGAGCACGGCCUCUGAGCGCGACAUCGCCCAGCUGAGCCAGCACACCCGCCUGCUGAGCCAGCUGGCCGGCCAACCGGGCGCCGCUAGCCGGGUGUCGGACGGACACGCGCCGUGGGAGAGGCUUCACCAGGCCAUGGCCCAGUCAGGUGGCUACCCCAGCCUCAAGGCCCCGCACCGUGAGCCCCACUCACCGAGUCGCGACGGCGAUCUCCCCGUCUCCCCCUCAUCCUCCCCCACGCCCCCGCCCGGCCGAGCCAGAACACCACUGGUUCUGAACCCUCAGGGAAAGUCAGCUUCAUGCCUCCUGACAGUUCUACGGGUUAAGAAGUCUUCAGCGUCAGGGUGGAGCAUUGGUCUAAAACCCUUUGGUAAAGGUUAUGUUCCCGGGGCUAAAUGGGCUUGGUUAUUUUUGUACAUGUUUAUUUCGGUCCAAUUUGACUGUAAGACUGUAAAACAGUAGCUUUAAAAGCAAGUAGCUUUAAAGGCCAUCGUAAAUGGCUGUUGUUCUGUCUCAUGGCUUAGAGCUCCUUUCUCUUUUUGAAAGAGAAAUGAUUUGUAUUGGCCAAAGCAGAGAUGUGGCCUUGGUGCCAACUUUUAUUAAAUCAAUGCCUUAAAGAAAAGCUGAAGAUAGGCUGGUUAGCCGAUAAAAGAAUAAUGAUCUGAAUAAUCCAAGGGAUUUCCUAAGGGUUGUCUGCACCCCAAAUUCACAUGAGAUGCAGAGACUACUGUGCCUUUAAAAUCACCAUAGCAAUCAUAAAAUAAGUCAUCCGUGUGGUUGACAGAGGUGUUAUUUUUAUAGAGGGGAGAUGACGAUACUACACUUGUUGCCUUCCGAGGCAUGACUCAGAAGGCAAAUUGAUAAGGUGGUCAUGGAAAAGGAAAUGUGUGCAACAGAAAACUCUGGUAAAUUGUAUGUUGCAUCGAUGUAUGCCAAGACUGAGCCUUGAAAAUUCUAACUUAUUUAUUUGUCGCCCAUAAAAUGUUAUGAUUUGGGCACAUGCAAAUUAAAUGUAUGUAUUCGUGAAGUCCAGAUGUUUGCGUUAAUCACAAUGCAAAGCAGGUUUUGCAUAUUUAUACACAAAUUUCGGUGUAUUGGUAAUUGUGGCCAAACCAAUUUUUUUUUUGGUUAAAUAAUUGACUAUGCUAAACUAUUACUUUUCAUAACAUUUUGUGGUCACAAAGAUGAGACUUUUUUAACUGACCUUUUUUUACUUACUCUAAAUGACCUACACUUUUGCACCAUAUGCCUUCAAAUGCUGAUAAUACAGGAACUCAAUCAAUAUGACCUGAAUGAAAGCCUUAAUAAACUGGAGUGAAGUGACAUUAUGACCG